GUCCACGCCGUAAACGGUGGGCACUAGGUGUGGGGACAUUCCACGUUCUCCGUGCCGAAGCUAACGCAUUAAGUGCCCCGCCUGGGGAGUACGGCCGCAAGGCUAAAACUCAAAGGAAUUGACGGGGCCCGCACAAGCGGCGGAGCAUGCGGAUUAAUUCGAUGCAACGCGAAGAACCUUACCUGGGUUUGACAUACACCGGAAAGCUGCAGAGAUGUAGCCCCCGCAAGGUCGGUGUACAGGUGGUGCAUGGCUGUCGU
rnacentral:rRNA from 1 species